rnacentral:rRNA from 1 species
AACGAGUUAUCAGAACCUUCGGGGGACGAUAACGGCGUCGAGCGGCGGACGGGUGAGUAAUGCCUAGGAAAUUGCCCUGGUGUGGGGGAUAACCAUUGGAAACGAUGGCUAUAACCGCAUGAUGCCUACGGGCCAAAGAGGGGGACCUUCGGGCCUUCCGCGUCAGGAUAUGCCUAGGUGGGAUUAGCUAGUUGGUGAGGUAAGGGCUCACCAAGGCGACGAUCCCUAGCUGGUCUGAGAGGAUGAUCAGCCACACUGGAACUGAAGCACGGUCCAGACUCCUACGGGAGGCAGCAGUGGGGAAUAUUGCACAAUGGGCGCAAGCCUGAUGCAGCCAUGCCGCGUGUGUGAAGAAGGCCUUCGGGUUGUAAAGCACUUUCAGUCGUGAGGAAGGUAGUGU